AAACAAAUAACAUACAUGAUUUGCGCGGGAAAAAUAAACUAUAGCAAGAGAGAAAUUUAACUAAACUAUUACAUCCAUUCAUUUACUUAACCAUUUACAAAUCACUAAAAUACAACCAUUUAACUCAUACAUAGAUUUCCUCACUACAUGAUCUCUCCGAAAUAUAUAUAUAUAACAUGUCUCUCACAUAUAUAUGUGUCACACCCCAAUAAUCCCACAUCGAAU
rnacentral:lncRNA from 1 species